UCACUGUGGUACACAUUUGGUGGAGGAACCAGACUGGAUGUUGGAAGUGAAGCCCGUCCCACCUUGAUGGUUCUGCCCCCUUCCAAUGAGGAGCUGCAGCAGGGGAAGGCCACGCUCGUGUGCCUGGCCAACAAGGGCUUCCCCUCAGACUGGAGUCUGGCCUGGAAGGUGGACGGCAUCAGCGGCGGCAGCUGGGAGGAGAGCAGGGGCCCUGCGGUGAUGGAGCAGGACGCUCGUUACAGCUGGAGCAGCACCCUGAGGCUCUCUGCAGGCCAGUGGACGAAGGUGGGCUCUGUGACCUGUGAGGCCACCCAGGGCUCCCAGACGCUGGUCUCAGAGACACUGAGGAGGGACCAGUGUUCCCAGGACUGAGCUGUAUCACCUGGA